rnacentral:misc_RNA from 1 species
AUAUAUAAUAUUCAUAAGCAUACCGUCGUGCUAUCGGCAUCGGCGCAGGCGUGAGCAUCGUCGCUUUAUUGUGCCAUGUCGUUCAUAUCAUAUUGUACUGGUACCUGCUGCUCGAAACGGGACAAAAUUUCCCUUCGUUCAUUCGUACGACUUUAAUCAAUUUCGCUAUGUUAAUGAGCACAUCGUCCGUAUUGAUUCUCGUUUCCUUUUUGCCAUUUGUGCUUUGUCAAACGUCAAUGGAUUUGAUGGUUGUGAUAGAAGAAUCCGAUUCGUCUAUUUUGGGUAUAUUAAAUGACGCGGUCCCAGAAGCAGAACGGAAUUUCGCUAAUGAUAUGAUUACCGUUCAUGUUUCUACCGUUAUAGUGAAUCGUGAGAAUGUAGACGCAAGUUUCGAAAAAGUCUGCGCCAUUCUUUACAAAGGGAUAAGUAUUAUACUAGAUAUGACGUGGACUGGUUGGGACAAACUACGAAAUGUCGCGGACGAGAGAGGGAUAAUAUAUAAACGUGGCGACUGCAGUAUAAGUCCAUAUAUUCAAGCGAUUGAUGAUCUUUUAAUUAUGAAAAAUGCAACAGACGUCGGUUUGAUCUUUGAAGAUGAAAGAGAGCUAAAUCAAAGCCUUUAUUAUCUUAUCGGAAAUUCGAUUAUUAGAUUGGUAGUCAUUGAUGAAUUGACAGAAAGAACUGUGACGAAAGUACGAAGUAUGCGACCGUCACCAUCUUAUUAUGCUAUUUAUGCUAGCACAGCGAAAAUGGAAGAACUAUUUAAAACAGCUAUUGGAGGAGGACUCGUUAAACGAGAUGGUAUUUGGAAUUUAGUAUUUACAGACAAUAGUUACCACGAAUUUCGAUAUAUUACCGGUGAUCUUCAACUAAAUGUUUCAUUCACCAUUCUUAGUAUGAAGGCAGACAUUUGUUGUCGUUUAAUGGGCGAUGUAUCUUGCACCUGUCCUACAAAUUUUAAGAUAUUUCCAUACUAUUUUAAACGUUUGAUUGGCUUGAUCGUAAGCUUGAUGAGUGACGUUCAAAGAGCGGGUGUAAGUGUAGCUGCAAAGACAGGCCAAUGUGAUAAACCUGUUAGUCCUACUUCAGUUUCAAACAUUACAGUGGAAACGUUCAACAAAAUUUUAAUGACAAGAUUGGACAGUAACGAUACUUUCGAAUAUUGGUCAGAGAAGGCGAUGAUCACUUACAAAGCGGAGAUUGAGUUACAAAUGGUUAAUCAUGGUUAUGUAGAUAUGCUCGCGACUUGGACGAGACGUACAAAAAUUAAAGAAGCGGACGGGAGGAAAAUAGAACCAGCCAGGCGAUUCUUCCGGAUUGGAACGGCACCAGCAGUUCCAUGGUCUGUAACUAAGAAAGAUCCAGUGACUGGCCAAGAAUUACGUAACGAGGAAGGAAAGGAAAUCUGGGAAGGUUACUGUAUAGAUUUUGUGCAAAAAUUAUCAGAAGAGAUGCAGUUCGAUUACGAUCUUAUUAUUCCUGAAGAUCGAGAAUUUGGCAAAAAGUUGUCUAAUGGUGAAUGGACCGGUCUAAUAGGUGAUCUGGCUAAAGGAGAAACUGACAUUGCUAUAGCGGCAUUAACAAUGACAUCGGAACGAGAAGAAGUUAUCGAUUUUGUCGCACCAUAUUUUGAGCAAACCGGUAUACUAAUUGUAAUGAGAAAGCCAGUUCGUAAAACAUCCCUAUUUAAGUUUAUGACCGUACUGAGACUUGAAGUCUGGCUUAGUAUAGUGGGUGCUUUAACUUUGACUGCUAUUAUGAUUUGGAUAUUAGAUAAAUAUUCACCAUACAGUGCAAGAAACAAUAAACGACUUUACUCCUAUCCUUGUCGAGAAUUCACCUUGAAAGAAAGCUUUUGGUUCGCAUUAACAUCUUUUACGCCACAGGGUGGUGGCGAAGCUCCAAAAGCGUUAUCAAGCAGGACAUUGGUUGCGGCUUAUUGGCUAUUUGUUGUAUUGAUGUUGGCGACUUUUACUGCAAAUUUAGCUGCUUUUCUUACUGUAGAAAGAAUGCAGUCGCCUGUGCAAUCGUUGGAACAAUUGGCAAGACAGUCACGCAUAAAUUACACUGUGUUGGCCAAUUCUAGUGCUCAUCAGUAUUUUAAAAACAUGAAAAAUGCCGAGGAUAAGCUUUAUACGGUAUGGAAAGAAAUUACACUGAAUAGCACCAGUGAUCAAGUGGAAUAUCGUGUAUGGGAUUAUCCGAUAAAGGAACAAUAUGGUCAUAUUCUGCAAGCCAUCACUCAAGUUGGACCGGUCAAAACUACCGAAGAAGGUUUUAAAAAGGUAAUAGAAAGUGAAAAUGCUGAAUUUGCAUUUAUUCAUGAUUCGUCGGAGAUAAAAUACGAGGUGACAAAGAACUGCAAUUUAACGGAAGUAGGCGAUGUGUUUGCUGAGCAGCCGUAUGCUAUUGCAGUGCAGCAAGGGAGUCAUUUGCAAGAAGAAAUAAGCAGAUACUCGAUUUACAGAAAGACAGAUAUUUUGAGACACUGGCAGCCAAGUAUUGGAAUCAGACAUUAAAAUCUCAAUGUCCAAAUUCCGACGACAAUGAGGGAAUUACGUUAGAGAGUUUGGGAGGUGUAUUUAUUGCGACAUUGUUUGGACUGGCAUUGGCGAUGAUCACUUUGGCCGGUGAGGUCCUUUAUUAUCGUAAACGCGGCAUUUCUCAGAAAGGAAAGCCAAAUGACAAAAAGACAAUUAAGGAUAUCGAUA